UACGUAGGGUGCAAGCGUUAAUCGGAAUUACUGGGCGUAAAGCGCGCGUAGGUGGUUUGGUGAGUCGGAUGUGAAAUCCCCGGGCUUAACCUGGGAAUUGCAUUCGAUACUGCCUGACUCGAGUGUGGAAGAGGGAAGCGGAAUUUCCGGUGUAGCGGUGAAAUGCGUAGAUAUCGGAAGGAACACCAGUGGCGAAGGCGGCUUCCUGGUCCAACACUGACACUGAGGCGCGAAAGCGUGGGUAGCGAACAGG
rnacentral:rRNA from 1 species